CCUACGGGGGGCAGCAGUGAGGAAUAUUGGUCAAUGGGCGGAAGCCUGAACCAGCCAAGUAGCGUGCAGGAUGACGGCCCUACGGGUUGUAAACUGCUUUUAUACGGGAAUAACGCGCCUUACGUGUAGGGCUUUGCAUGUACCGUAUGAAUAAGGACCGGCUAAUUCCGGGCCAGCAGCCGCGGUAAUACGGAAGGUCCGGGCGUUAUCCGGAUUUAUUGGGGUUAAGGGGUGCGCGGGGGGUCUUUUAAGUCAGCGGUAAAAGCCCGGGGCUCAACCCCGGCCCGCCGUGGAAACUGGCAGUCUCGAGUUGGAGAGAGGUAUGCGGAAUGCGCGGUGUAGCGGUGAAAUGCAUAGAUAUCGCGCAGAACUCCGGUUGCGAAGGCAGCAUGCCGGCUACACACUGACGCUGAGGCACGAAAGCGUGGGUAUCGAACAGGAUUAGAUACCCCUGUAGUC
rnacentral:rRNA from 1 species